AUUGAACGCUGGCGGCAGGCCUAACACAUGCAAGUCGAACGAGUGGCGGACGGGUGAGUAAUGUCUGGGAAACUGCCUGAUGGAGGGGGAUCACUACUGGAAACGGUAGCUAAUACCGCAUACCAUCGGAUGUGCCCAGAUGGGAUUAGCUAGUGGGUGGGGUAAAGGCUCACCCAGGCGACGAUCCCUAGCUGGUCUGAGAGGAUGACCAGCCACACGGGAACUGAGCCACGGUCCAGACUCCUACGGGAGGCAGCAGUGGGGAAUAUUGCACAAUGGGCGCAAGCCUGAUGCAGCCAUGCCGCGUGUAUGAAGAAGGCCUUCGGGUUGUAAAGUACUUUCAGCGGGGAGGCGUUACCCGCAGAAGAAGCACCGGCUAACUCCGUGCCAGCCGCCGCGGUAAUAC
rnacentral:rRNA from 1 species